UGAGGGAAAGGCGAAAAGAACCCCGGCGAGGGGAGUGAAAAAGAACCUGAAACCGUGUACGUACAAGCAGUGGGAGCACGCUUCGGCGUGUGACUGCGUACCUUUUGUAUAAUGGGUCAGCGACUUAUAUUCUGUAGCAAGGUUAACCGAAUAGGGGAGCCGAAGGGAAACCGAGUCUUAACUGGGCGUUAAGUUGCAGGGUAUAGACCCGAAACCCGGUGAUCUAGCCAUGGGCAGGUUGAAGGUUGGGUAACACUAACUGGAGGACCGAACCGACUAAUGUUGAAAAAUUAGCGGAUGACUUGUGGCUGGGGGUGAAAGGCCAAUCAAACCGGGAGAUAGCUGGUUCUCCCCGAAAGCUAUUUAGGUAGCGCCUCGUGAAUUCAUCUCCGGGGGUAGAGCACUGUUUCGGCAAGGGGGUCAUCCCGACUUACCAACCCGAUGCAAACUGCGAAUACCGGAGAAUGUUAUCACGGGAGACACACGGCGGGUGCUAACGUCCGUCGUGAAGAGGGAAACAACCCAGACCGCCAGCUAAGGUCCCAAAGUCAUGGUUAAGUGGGAAACGAUGUGGGAAGGCCCAGACAGCCAGGAUGUUGGCUUAGAAGCAGCCAUCAUUUAAAGAAAGCGUAAUAGCUCACUGGUCGAGUCGGCCUGCGCGGAAGAUGUAACGGGGCUAAACCAUGCACCGAAGCUGCGGCAGCGACACUAUGUGUUGUUGGGUAGGGGAGCGU
rnacentral:rRNA from 1 species